UCGAUUAGCAUGCGAGUCGAGAGGUGCAAGACCUCGGCGCACUGCUCAGUAACACGUGGACAACCUACCCUGUGGAGGGGGAUAACCCCGGAAAACUGGGGAUAAUACCCCAUAGGUUAGGGAGGCUGGAAUGCCCCCUAGCUCAAAGGUCCGCCGCCACAGGAUGGGUCUGCGGCCGAUUAGGUUGUUGUUGGGGUAACGGCCCAACAAGCCUUUGAUCGGUACGGGUUGUGGGAGCAAGAGCCCGGAGAUGGAUUCUGAGACACGAAUCCAGGCCCUACGGGGCGCAGCAGGCGCGAAAACUUUACAAUGCGAGAAAUCGUGAUAAGGGAACCCCGAGUGCCCGUAAAUUCGGGCUGUCCGCCAGUGCAAAAAACUGGUGAAGAA
rnacentral:rRNA from 1 species